GCGCUGCCAGCUGAUCGGGAGGAGAAGCCGGUAUGAGGGGAGUUGAAGCGGAGGCUCAGGACGCAGCGAUAUGUGGGCAAGAUUGUGAAAUUUAGGACGGUAGACAAAUGGUGUCGUGUUGAAGUUGACUAAUUACAUUGUUAAUGGUUUCUAUAGCACUCUUGCUGUUUGAGUGGGUUAGAAUUCGAUAUUUUAGCCGAGUCGGGCUUUAGCUCUUUGAUUCAGGAGUGAUUUGUGAUUAAGGUGUGGCUUUCAGCAAAGGGGCGAAAUGAGCUAUUUAAACUGUUUCAGAAUUUGCAUGUAUUUCUUGGAUUUUUAGCCUUGGUUUACAGUUAGGGUAAGGCAUUACAGUGGGCGAGAGAGCCUGGAAAUGGGAUCAGGACAUGACCCUGGUCGAUUCGAACUUGGGUUCCCAGUGAACCAACCGCUUUUAAAUGUCGCUACCUUUGUACCCCAGUUGAAUCAUAAGGAUUUCGCGAGAAUUUGAUGCGCGUGUCACUGGUGAGCUAUUUAAAUCCUGGAAGCAUUCGUUUACUGAACGGCGUCUAAUCGUUCAAUGACCGUUGCAACAUUCUCUAUAUAACUUUUCGGAAGUAUGUGAAACCACUUCAGAACGAAUGGAAUCUGUUACAUUCCAUUGGAAGAGAUCGCGAGAGCGCUCGGUUCAGAGUUGAGCCGUACAGGGCGUGAGCUCUCCGCUAGUAGACCGUAUGAGGGGAAAACCAUUGUGAAAUUAAAGGAUGUUGAGCGGAUAUUGGUAUCUAGUAGCCUAAUAUGUUAUAUCUGGAAGUCGAACAGUUUACCAGCCUGACAUUCGAAUCGAUCGACGACAGAGAUCGAGAAUUCUACCAGUUGAAGUAGCCUAACAUUUGGAGUGAAGACCUCGGUUUAAUACCAGUGCCAACGCUAUGUCAUUAAAUGGAUUUCUUCUUACGUCUGAAAUGACGUCCUCCUGUUGAAGGCAGCCAAGCUAGUUCACCUCAGCAGUACAGACUGUGAGCUGGCCCAGCUCUGUGGGAGGGUGGAGUCAGUCCAGCUCAGCAUGUAUCAGACAGCAUGAAGGGCCUCUGCAGACAGAAUGGAAUUUAUACCGUAUGUACCAGGCAUCCCAAGAAUGCAUGGCACAGAGACUUGACCAACGGAAAGAACUGUAGAAAACGCAGUGGAAAGGGGUGAGCACGCCUGAACCAAGACAAAGUCUGGGAGCCAAAAGGAGGAGCAGGAUGUAUGCGUGACGUCUGUGUCCCGGACGAACCCUUGGUAAGUCUUCCUGUUUACCUCGUCGUCUUUACAAACAAAUCAAAUCAAAAAGCUCUUCGGGUACAGGUGCGUUUUUCUCUAUAACGGUUUGUUACGAUUUCUUCCCCUUCCUGGCAUCUGCCGUUUUUUAUUUUAUUCUUUUCAUCUGUGCAUUUGUGAAUGGCAUCCAUUUCUCAAUGUCUUCACUUCUCCAUUUCUCACUGUUGCCUGCCCGCCGGUUGACUCAUGCUGUGAUUCAUGGCAGAAUUACUGGAGCCGCCUCAGCAUUUGAAGCAUAGCUGUAGGAACAGUGAUUGCCUGGCCUCUUUAGAGGGCCUGAUGCAGGCACAGCGAUGCCUGAUUAAGGACGAAGUCCAGAUGCAACUGUACAUGCCACUCUGUGCAUAUGUAAAGGAUGGUGAAUAAUGCACAAGACCUUCGUGACACGGAGGAGAAUGGGUAAUAGAGCGGAAGGGACAAGCUCAGACUCGGGCAUCUGCCCUAAAGUCACAUAAAAAAAAUCUUUGGACACUCUGGAUUUUCUCUUUCAGAGUGUCUCAAAAAGUGGCUUAAUGUGGCAAACUGGCAUCUGUACAAUGUGGAGGCAUUUGUUUCAAAAGUUCUUUAGCCACCAGUUGUAAAGAAAUGGCCACCCCCCCCCUCCCCCCACAUACAGAUGAUCUGCUUGCAUGUUGUGUCAUGUGGCAUUUCAUAACCAAAAUGGAUUCUCAUAUCCCUCAGGGAUUUAGUGGUUUCCUUCCAGAGAUUCUUACUGCAUUCUGCCAGUUUAUGGCUCCAACCUCGCAUUUUUCCACAGUAGCAGAAAGACAAGAGACUUUCAACCUCUGGGUGUGGUUCUCUCUCGUGCUCUCAUUUCUCAUUUUCUGCACUGCAUUCCCUCUGAAAGCCCCUGCUUGAUGGGACAAGCAUGACCGGAAUGUAACAUCUCUACCGUUGGCCAUGUCUCUGAGCGGUGAGCUUGCACCUUUAAAAACCGAUUUUCCCUAAUCUUUAUCUCGGCUCGGCUCAACCGUGCUCUUCUUUUGUUCAGAUUUACAAAAUUUCACUUUAAUUAAAAAUCCCCCUUUCACCCACCCCAUUUGGUCACUUCCCGAUUAUUAAAAUGAAAGCUGAAGGGAAUAACUAAUGCAUUGAUCCGUAACUCACAAUUAAUGCGUGGCUUUGAAUGAUGUAACGAUGCAAGUCAAGUAAGUGAACAUAUCUGUUUGGACAGAGGGUGUAACAGUGCUUUCUUUGAAAAUCUGACCUCUUCCCACUGUCUUCCAGAUGUUGGGCAAGCCUGUUAAACCUAAAACCUCUUUGCCAGUUGGAUUGAAGCGCAGCUUUGUCUUUCACCUGCUGCUCAAGCUGUUUGGUGUCUCCUGGUGAUGUGAGCAAGCUGUCGAUCUUGGACAGUGUCACUAAACAGCUGAUGCAACAGUUUAGGAGCAAUAGAAGUGGAGGUAAAAAGUGUUUUUAACACCACCCAGACUCCCAUCUUGAGCCAUCUUUGGGCUAUUGAUUAAUGGUUCAUUUGAAAUAGUUUCUUGGAGGUAAGAAGAGCUUUAGGGAGGAAAAUGUGAGCAGGCACAUACUUUACCAUUUCCCUUUGCCUUGUGGAGCAGCCUGACUGUAAUUGUUUGGGAAGCUUCCACAACUUUACAAUAAAUCACUUCUUGGGAACACUGUGUUCUAUGCGACAGGAUUCGUAGGCAUUGUGUGUUUGUUUGUAUAUGUCGGUGAGUCAGGGUAUGUGUGUGAGAGAGACAGCAAGAGUCCGGUGCUGACCACUUGUUAGCCUGUGGCUCUCUGAAGCGUCUUGACCAUCUUGUUCAGGCAUCAAACACCAUGCAACGGACUAGUGAAUUUUUUUUCGUUUCUUCUGAGAGUGGGUUGAAGAGAAGUCUCUGGCUUUUCCAUAACCACGUUACAACUUUUGAGAGCACAUAUAGUGUGAUACUGGACAGUGGUGUGUGGUUGUUUUUAAGUCUUGUAACCAAAGCUAUCAGCCCUCCCUGCCUGCAGUGUCCUGGACAUAGAAGGAUCUUAUCUCCGCCUUUAGACAAAGGACGAUUCAACCGCUCUGGUGUCUGAUAACAACAAGCUAAAGACUCCACAGAAGGGGGAAGCUGCAACCAAAUGUGAUUUUCCUUCCCUGAAAACAGCAUAGAUGCAGUGAGCAUUCAUUUCCUCUCUGGGUUUGUUCAGACAAUGUUUUUUCUUGCAUCUGUUGAUGCGCAAUAAAUCUAUAGCUUUUUGUUUAUCUGAUCUUUUUUAUAUUAUUAGUAUUGUAUCAGUUCAUAUUGGAUAUUUUAUUUCCUCUACUUUGCAUAACAUCUUUAUAAUUUAAAACAAUUUUCAAUUUAAUAUUUAAUUGAUUACUGGGAUUUGAAAAGCUAAAUACUUUCCAGCAGUAAACAAAGUUGGCAACAGUUAAAAACAAGGCCAAAAGCAGCGAGAGCUUUUACAACCUUUACAAUCAGGUGCUGAGGGGAAUUGUAUGAAUAAAUGUAUGAAUGAAUUAAGUUAUCUGAAUGUAUCUCUGAAGGGAACUGACUGUCUUUAGAAGUUUUGAUGGCAUUUUCUUCAUCUUACAUCUGUGUAAUGACUAAUAAAGUCAUUUUUAUAAGUGCAGCGCUGCUUUAUGUACAGCGUUUACCAGGCUCUAUUUCUGCUCUUCCAUAAGUGCUACCUACUGUCAGAGAGUGCAUUUACAUUUUCAUUGAGCUUGUCAGUACUUUGAACAUUUUCAGCACAUUAUAACAAUAUCUUGAUCAUUUUGGUCACUAUAAUCGUGAUAUGAAAUUUUCAUACCUUGUCAUCUCUUGCACAGAAUUAGCUCCUACUUCAACUGUGGUGCAUGAGAGAAUAUUCUCAGUCGCUGGACACAGUGUGCACAGGAAGAGGGCUGUUCUUGUGUCACCUGAAAAUGUUAACAAACUGGCAUGCCUUAGCAGCUGGUUAAAUGUUUACUAGAAAAGCAAGCCGACCUUACACUUUAGAAUAAGUUGUGUUGUGUCUUAGUUUUGGAAAUUGAAGAAUGUGAUUGUUUACUUUGCUGGAUAUAGCAAAUGGAAAAAAACAUGUUAAUAAAUGGUGAUG